rnacentral:rRNA from 1 species
CAGGCCUAACACAUGCAAGUCGAACGGGCACCUUCGGGUGUCAGUGGCAGACGGGUGAGUAACACGUGGGAACGUGCCCUUCGGUUCGGAAUAACUCAGGGAAACUUGAGCUAAUACCGGAUACGCCCUUACGGGGAAAGGUUUACUGCCGAAGGAUCGGCCCGCGUCUGAUUAGCUAGUUGGUGAGGUAACGGCUCACCAAGGCGACGAUCAGUAGCUGGUCUGAGAGGAUGAUCAGCCACACUGGGACUGAGACACGGCCCAGACUCCUACGGGAGGCAGCAGUGGGGAAUCUUGCGCAAUGGGCGAAAGCCUGACGCAGCGACGCCGCGUGAGUGAUGAAGGCCUUCGGGUUGUAAAGCUCUGUGGGGAGGGACGAAUAAGUGCUGGCUAAUAUCCAGCGCGAUGACGGUACCUCUUUAGCAAGCACCGGCUAACUUUGUGCCAGCAGCCGCGGUCAU